GGAUUCCCCCAGUAACGGCGAGUGAAGAGGGAAAAGCCCAAAUUUGUAAUCUGGCUCUUUCAGAGUCCGAGUUGUAAUUUUGAGAACUGUCUUCAGUGCUGGACCAUGUACAAGUCUGUUGAAAAGCAGCAUCAUUGAGGGUGAUAAUCCCGUUCAUGAUAUGGACUACCAGUGCACUACGAUACAGUCUCUAAGAGUCGAGUUGUUUGGGAAUGCAGCUCAAAGUGGGUGGUAAAUUCCAUCUAAGGCUAAAUACAGGUGAGAGACCGAUAGCAAACAAGUACCGUGAGGGAAAGAUGAAAAGAACUUUGGAAAGAGAGUUAACAGUACGUGAAAUUGUUAAAAGGGAAACAAUUGAAGUUAGACUUGUUAUUAUCAGUUCAACCUUUUCUGAAGGGAGUAUUCUGGUGGUUAACAGACCAACAUCAAUUUUUGGGUGUUGGAGAAGGGCCUGAGGAAACGUAGCAGCCUCUGGCUGUGUUAUAGUCCUGGGCUUUGAUACAACGCCUAGGAUUGAGGAAGGCA
rnacentral:rRNA from 1 species